AGCUUUGCGCAGUGACAGUAUCGUAGCCAAUGAGGUUUAUCCAAGGCGCGAUUAUUGCUAAUUGG
rfam:Canis lupus familiaris chromosome 8, whole genome shotgun sequence.